GCCUUGGGGAUCCCGCAGUCCCCCCCCUUCCUCCUUCUCCCUCCCUAACCCCACACCUUCAGACCUCCUCCUCCCCUCCACCCGCGGCUGCCGGAGCCCCCACACUCUGGUUAUACUUCAUGCAGAGUAGUAGAAGAAGAGAGGACGAGACCUCGUCGCUAAAAGCAUCCUAUGAGGAAACGAAGGUUAAAAAAGGUUGCACAACUAGUGAGUGGCAGAGCCCAGAUGUGACUUCUAAGUCUUCUGGAGCCCCAGCUGUUCCUUCUGCGUCUGCUCCUGUCUUCACAUGGCCGUCUCCCCUCUCAUGGAAUUAGGGACCACUUCUAAUGACCUCAUCUUAACCUGAUGACAUCUGCAAAGACUGUUUCCAAAUAAGGUCACAUUCACAGGU